GUAAUUUCCUACCCCUAGGUAUUAUCUAUCGACUGUCGGAGAACCUAAUCUUCUCUAUUCUCUAGUCUCUCUAAGCGUUUUUCACCCCAACACAGAAGACUUAGAGAAGAGAUUCGAGAAGUUUGAGAAGAUUGAUAGAGAGGAACUGAGUGACCGAGUGAACUACAUCUAUUUGAUGAAGAGUGUGAUGAUCAGAGACUCUCAGAGAAUUGCAGAAGCAUAGUCCUGGAAGACAAUGAGACGUUCAAGAGAUUUAAAAGUUUGCAGAAAACAGAUGGAAAGAGUUAAUUUGAUAAGUAUGUAUCUCAGAUAAAUAUUUGAUAAGCAUUGCUAUGUUUAAGUGAUUGGCUGCCAGACUUCUUUGAUGCAGGUUUUUGUGAAUGCAUAUAUGGAAAUCUUCGACUGAAGUUGAUGCAACAUGCAACCAGCAAAGAAGAUCCAGCCUGUUUGAGUGUAGUUUGUUUUUGUUUGUAGU